GCUGAGCUACCCUGGGUGGUCCUCCCUGUGCCUCCAGUGGGAAGGGCCCAGACAGUGCAGUGAUGCCACCUGCCGACACUUUGCAGCAUUGCACAGAUCCUGAGAGGAAUCCAGACCCAGGGCUGGCAGGUCCCAGAGAAAGGACACGAUUGCUUCUUCUCAAUGGACACAGGCACGGCUGCACACAUACUUGCUUGGUUAAGACCAGGAGCAAGGUGUCCCGGACAACCCCGGAGGCAAAGCAUCAGGAAAGUGAAGACUCCUUGACACUGCGUAGCAUCAUGAGCAUCCAUCCAGCGUAUGACAGCCAGUGCAUGGGUCAGUCUGUGAUUUAGCUAGCCCAGAGGACCCACUGAUUACCAGCUCAGGGAGAGCCAUUGCUGCUGCCAGCAUUGGAGAACGGGAAUAGACUUCUCAAGCCCACGUCCAUACAGGAUCUCUGACUGGACUGUAGCUAACCAGCUAGGCUAGGCUGGCUGGCCAAUACACCCCAAGGAUCUGCCCAUCUCUACUUCCCCAGCCGUGGGAUUACAAGUGCAUGACACCAAGACUACCUUUUUCUUUCUUUCUUUUCUUUUCUUUUUUUCCCCUUUUUCUUAUAUGAUGUCUUAGUUACUUUCCUGUAAUAAAAUACC